rnacentral:rRNA from 1 species
GACGAACGCUGGCGGCGUGCUUAACACAUGCAAGUCGAACGGAAAGGCCCUGCUUUUGUGGGGUGCUCGAGUGGCGAACGGGUGAGUAACACGUGAGUAACCUGUACCUGACUUUGGGAUAAAUUCAGGAAAAUGGGGCUAAUAUCGGAUAGGAGCUCCUGCUGCAUGGUGGGGGUUGGAAAGUUUCGGCGGUUGGGGAUGGGCUCGCGGGUUACCGGCCUGUUGGUGGGGUAGUGGCUGACCAAGGCUUCGAAGGGUAGCCGGCCUGAGAGGGUGACCGGCGACAUUGGGACUGAGGUGCGGCCGAGACUCCUACGGGAGGCAGCAGUGGGGAAUAUUGCAGAAUGGGCGGAAGCCUGAUGCAGCAACUCCGCGUGCGGGAUGACGGCGUUCGGGUUGUAAAACACAUUCGCAUGUAACGAUGCGUGUGUGACGGUAAUGGGUAAAGAAACACCGGCUAACUACGUG